AUAAGCUAAGGGCUAGCAAGCACAUCCACUUUUUUGUCUUGAGAAGCGACUGCUGAAAUAGCUACGUAAAUCUGCAAGAAUAAUAUAAUGGCAGCGUCGCUUGCCCCCGUGCUGUGUGUUUGAGGGAUCCCAUCUGCUGAUUCACCACCUCCUCAAAGGCCAAUGCAGCAAGCCGUUGGAACAGUUCCGUCACCUUGAACCCGGAACGCGCGGAAACGGACCAAUAUUCGGCCUGAAGUUCGGCGGCGGCCAUGCCCGCCAAGCGCUCCAUUCGGAUGAAUUCCUCCUUUGUCUUUGAGAAAGACCAAUGGUCUGUGGCUUGUAUUGUAGUUGAGUGCGCUGGCCAGCCAUUUCUUGGCCGAUUCCAGGGUAUCGCGUCUCGACAUGUCAUAGGUCACCACAAUAACUAAAGGAAGUUCGAUCUUAAAGGCAGUAAAUUAUGGGUUUCUGUACAUACCACUUGCAUUGCGAUAAUAAGCGCCAGCGAUGCACUUGAAGCGCUCCUGUCCGGCCGUAUCCCACCUGGAAACGAAGCAGAAAUUUAAAUAAAGGAGCGACAGGGGAGAGGUGCCCCACAUACAUCUCCAGGCAGUAAUUGUGACCAAGGAUAUUGAAGUUCUCCAGCUCAAAGUCCAC